ACGAAGUAGCGAAAUAGUAAUCCACGAUGUUGACGCGAGAAACGGACGAAAAAUGUCGACUAGAACGUUAAGCUGAGAAGGAACAGGAGUAUGGCGGGAACGAAGAGAAAUGAAGCGCCAUAAAAUUGAUGAUUUCUACAAGGACAUCUGAAAGAAAAAUUAGUGAACAUUAAGUGUUUUAUUGCAUUGUUAGUCAAGAACACGUAUUUUCUAAUACACUUAUCACCUGAAGAUAUCUUUAAAGAGGAUAAGUUGAGCAACAUAAACAAUACAUAUCAAUACAAUAUUCUUCAAAGCUUCACGAUGUUGAUUUUUCUUCGUUUUAGUAAACAUUGUGAAAAUCAACGGAACAAAUAGGUUUAAAAAGCGAGAACAGAGCCUGAAAUGAAACAUUAAAAAAAUACUCAGAAGUUUAACACAAAUUUUAAAUAAAAUAUCCCAAGUUUAGUCUCUUACCUUAGAAGAUACUAUAACAAAUAAAACAAUUCGAUGACGGCACAAAGAUAAAAAAGACAUCUGUCGCAGACAUGAUAUCACAAAGAGAAAGUAUGUAAUUAGUAAGAUUCACUAAUAAUUCAUGACAUAUGAAGUUUCUUCAUACAUCUGGUGUCAAAAAAAUAUAUUUUAAGAAAUAACGCCAUUAUUGGAAAAGAGUCAUUUUAUGACUAUCUACAUUACAUAGCUAAAGACUGUGUUUCACACUUCUAUACUUCAUAUAAAGCAAAAUUAUUAAACUCAUUCAACGUA